GUGGAUUAGAUACCCGGGUAGUCCACGCCGUAAACGAUGAAUACUAGGUGUCGGGCGUCAAAACUCGGUGCCGCAGCUAACGCAUUAAGUAUUCCGCCUGGGGAGUACGCACGCAAGUGUGAAACUCAAAGGAAUUGACGGGGACCCGCACAAGCAGCGGAGCAUGUGGUUUAAUUCGAAGCAACGCGAAGAACCUUACCAGGUCUUGACAUCUCUCUGAUCGACUCUUAGCCGAGUCUUCCCUUCGGGGCAGAGAUGACAGGUGGUGCACGGCCGUCGCCAGCU
rnacentral:rRNA from 1 species